rnacentral:lncRNA from 1 species
CAGAAAUGUUCUGUGUGCUAAUGAGCACGGAUAUCUUCUGUGUCUACAAGUACAAGUCCUUACAACUCACACCUGUGAAAUAUACCAUAUGGCUAUGCCGUAGGUCAGGAUAAACACUUCACCUGCCACUUCAACAGCCAGGUACUGUAAAGCAUUUGCCAUCUCUGCUUCAUAGCAUUGCAUUCCUACCAGUUAACCUGUGGAAUAAUACUCCUCCACUGGCCACUAGGUCUAUAGAAAAGUGUCUGUUUGCUCUGCUUGUUGAUAUAGAAUUCAAGCCAUAAAAUAGUAUUGCAUCAUCUCUCCAAAUGAAGAUGAACUGUUUACAGCACAAUCUAUACUAUUGUUCUUUUAAAACGUAUAUGCUGUCACUGUACUGCUGACGAAUAAGCCAUUCCAGCCCUGGAUGAGAGGUGUGCUGCCAUUCAUAUCAGGAGUAAUAUGUCUUCACUGCUUCCUGAUUGUAAAGAAGCCAUGAUAUAGAUGUUUCCAUAUCUCUUCACUGCUUCCUGAUGGUAAAGAAGCCAUGAUAUAGAUGUUCCCAUAUCUCUUCACUGCUUCCUGAUUGUAGAGGCCAUGAUAUAGAUGUUUCCAUAUCUCUUCACUGCUUCCUGAUUGUAGAGGCCAUGAUAUAGAUGUUCCCAUAUCUCUUCACUGCUUCCUGAUGGUAAAGAGGCCAUGCUAUAGAUGUUCCCAUAUCUCUUCACUGCUUCCUGAUUGUAGAGGCCAUGAUAUAGAUGUUCCCAUAUCUCUUCACUGCUUCCUGAUUGUAAAGAGGCCAUGCUAUAGAUGUUCCCAUAUCUCUUCACUGCUUCCUGAUUGUAGAGGCCAUGAUAUAGAUGUUCCCAUAUCUCUUCACUGCUUCCUGAUUGUAAAGAGGCCAUGCUAUAGAUGUUCCCAUAUCUCUUCACUGCUUCCUGAUUGUAAAGAGGCCAUUCUAUAGAUGUUCCCAUAUAAAUUAUUCUUAUUAUACAUGUUUCCAUCUUCCCGCUGCUACUCUCUUCCACUUUCAAUAACCCUAAAGAAUAAAACAUAACAACUCACGUCAGGAGAUGUAUUU